UUCCUCAUCGUCUAACGGCAAGACGACUGACUCUGACUCAGUUAAUCGUGGUUCGAAUCCAUGUGAGGAAGC
rnacentral:tRNA from 1 species